rnacentral:lncRNA from 1 species
UGUCGCCUGCCGCUCCGCUCUACCUCGUCGUUCUGUUCUGCCAGCACCGUGCUGAGGCCGCUGACUGCCUCAAUUGUUGCGUUCACGCUCCCUGACGCGAGCAUGGGAGAGAAGUCUGCACGGGCUUGCAUUGGUGACAGCAGCAGGGCACCAGCUGCCAGCACAUGCAACAUAGGACCGCCCAUCUGUGGCCUCAAUGUGCUGGAAGCAGUUCUGCAGGCUGUAAAGAGACCUGCUUCGUCUCCAGAACAGGAUGUGGUGGCCUCAGCUGCUGGCUGUUUGGAGCCAACACUCCUU